GAUGAACGCUGGCGGCGUGCCUAAUACAUGCAAGUCGAGCGGGCGGACGUGAAUCUUGCUUCUCUGAUGUUAGCGGCGGAUGGGUGAGUAGCACGUGGAUAACCUACCUAUAAGACUGGGAUACCUUCGGGAAACCGUAGCUAGUACCGGCUAAUAUUUUGAACAGCAUGGUUCAAAAGUGACAGACGGUCUUGCUGUCACUAUUAUAUGGAUCCGCGGUGCAUUAGUUAGUUGGUAAGGUAACGACUUACCAAGGCAACGCUGCAUAGCCGACCUGAGAGGUGGAUCGGCCACACUGGAACUGAGACACGGUCCAGACUCCUACGGGAGGCAGCAGUAGGGAAUCUUCCGCAAUGGGCGAAAGCCAGACGGAGCAACGCCGCGUGAGUGAUGAAGGUCUUCGGAUCGUAAAACUCUGUUAUUAGGGAAGAACAUAUGUGUAAGUAACUGUGCACAUCUUGACGGUACCUAAUCAGAAAGCCACGGCUAACUACGUG
rnacentral:rRNA from 1 species